rnacentral:tRNA from 1 species
GCAUCCGAGAUGUUGCUGGCCGCAUACCAGGUUGCCAAUCUGGGUGAACGGGUUCGAACCCCGUCGGAUGCUCCA